AUUUUUCUUCACAGACAAAAAGAAAAACUCCACACCCUCCCACUUAGUUGCUUCUGCCAGUUGCCUCAGGAAGUCUGUGGCUGGCUGAAUGUAGAUCAGGUUGACUGCAUAAAAACUAGCUCCUGAGUGUCCACAAAAGCUCCUGCUGACUUCAUCUGAAAUUCUGAAGGUGUAAGAAUGCAAUUUACCACACAGUAUUUAAAAUAAAUUUCUCAAAG
rnacentral:lncRNA from 1 species